rnacentral:rRNA from 1 species
GACGAACGCUGGCGGCGUGCUUAACACAUGCAAGUCGAACGGAGUGGCGAACGGGUGAGUAACACGUGGUUGACUGCCCUGUACUUCGGGAUAAGCUUUGGAAACUGGGUCUAAUACCGGAUAGUAUGGGAUGACUCGCGGCCUAUGAGCUUGUUGGUGGGGUAGUUGCCUACCAAGGCGACGACGGGUAGCCGGCCUGAGAGGGCGACCGGCCACAUUGGGCUGAGAUACGUCCCAAGCUCCUACGGGAGGCAGCAGGGGGGAAUAUUGCGCAAUGGGGGAAACCCGGAGGCAGCAACGCCGGGGGCGGGAUGACGGCCUUCGGGUUGUAAACCGCUUUCAGCCAUGACGCGGUAGUGGCAGAAGAAGCAACGGCUAACUACGUGCCAGCAGCCGCGGUAAUUC